GUGGCCGCGUGGGGGAAGGAGCAAGGUGGGCUUGGGGUUUCGGUGGAGGCCUCGAGCGGUUUGCUGGUCAACAACCGACAGAAGAAAUUGCAAGUGGACUGAGGAGAGGAGGCUUCUGGACAAUUGGCGGCUUAGUGGAAUUCUCGGGCUUCUUCAGUCAACAAAAUCGAAAGUCUACAAAGGAAAUGAAAGCAGGCUGAUUCGGCGGGCUUGCUUCCCGGUGGGUUGUGUCGGAAGCUGGGGUUGUCUUCGUGGAGAUGAAGAGAUGAGGCAACGUUGGUUUCAAUUAAAAGAAAACAAGCAAGGGCGGUCAACAAACGAAACUUCGGUGAGAUGAGUGUUGACCAAAGAAGACAAGAUUAAGUGGAGAUGGCAGAAGGAAUUUCGGCAGUUGAAAGAAAGGUGAAAGAGAACAACCCAUAAGCAGAGAGAGAGAUUCGGUUGAGGGGGGACUUCGACGGAUGAAAAAAAAUGAAAAGAACAGAAGCAGAGGAGAGG
rnacentral:lncRNA from 1 species